UAGUUAUGGUGUGGACAGUCACUUAGUAGCCCCUUGAAUCGCUCCCAGACUAUAUAAAGUGAUUCACCUUCUCUCUGUUUGAAAGAAAAUAUCUUCCUUCUUAUCUU
rnacentral:snoRNA from 1 species